UACGAGGGAUGCAAGCGUUAUCCGGAAUUAUUGGGCGUAAAGCGUUUGUAGGCGGGCGAGUGUGUUUAAUGUUAAAUCUUAAAGCUCAACUUUGAAAUUGCGUUAAAAACUGCUUGUCUUGAGUAUGGUAGGGGUAAAGGGAAUUCCCAGUGUAGCGGUGAAAUGCGUAGAUAUUGGGAAGAACACUAAACAGCGAAGGCACUUUACUAGGCUAAUACUGACGCUGAGAAACGAAAGGUAAGGUAGCGAAACGGAUUAGAUACCCGUGUAGUCUUACCCGUAAACUAUGGACACUAAACGGUAAAUUUUUAAUUUACUGUUAAAGCUAACGCGUUAAGUGUCCCGCCUGGGGAGUAUGCUUGCAAAAGUGAAACUCAAAGGAAUUGACGGGGGCCCGCACAAGCGGUGGAGCAUGUGGUUUAAUUCGACGGUACACGAAGAACCUUACCAGGAUUUGACAUGCUAGAUAGUUGCUUGAAAGAGUAACGUGCCGUAAGGAAUCUAGACACAGGUGGUGCAUGGCUGUCGUCAGUUCGUGUUGUGAAAUGUUGGGUUAAGUCCCGCAACGAACGCAACCCUUGUCUUUAGUUAUUUUCUAAAGAGACUGCCUGUAAUAAACAGGAGGAAGGUAAGGAUGAGGUCAAGUCAUCAUGCCCCUUAUGUCCUGGGCUACACACGUGCUACAAUGGGAAAGACAAUGAGCUGCAAAUCUGUAAAUUUAAGCAAAUCUCUUAAACUUUCUCGUAGUUCGGAUUGUGGGCUGCAACUCGCCCACAUGAAGUUGGAAUCGCUAGUAAUCGCCAGUCAGCUAUAUGGCGGUGAAUCCGUUAACGGGGCCU
rnacentral:rRNA from 1 species